GUUUUUCCAUUGACCUUAGUCGGAGGGCACAGUGAAACUAAGGGCCGCCUGAAGAGAUCUCCUGUGUUCGGGACACUCUUACCUCCACAGAGGGCCACGGUCCCACAGUCUCUCUUUGGAAUGAGAAAAGUGCCACUCAGAGAAGUUAACGCAAGGUUAUACAGUUCCUAAAUGACGCCUGUGGGGAGGAGUCCGGUGGACUGAUGUCCCACGAGGGGACUGCGCCUAUGGUCUGUCAACAAGUCUGACCUUCUUCACAGGGUCGCUGACCAGGUACAAGGAGCACCUGCUGCUGGAGAAGCCCCAGGACAGUGGGCAGAGCUCACAGUGCCUGGCAUGAACUUUGGAACUGUCAUCUUUCUAAAAGGGGUCCUUCCUCUCCACAAGACACAACGAACCCACGAGCCGCCCAAGUCCCUGAAGCAUCUAUGUGGCACUCCCACUGCAGGCGUUCAGGCUUAAAGAGAAGACAGCCCUUGACCUUCCUGGAACAGACACUCCAGAGGAUAGACCAAAAAGGGCUCCAGAGGAGAGGAGAGGUGGGGGACAGAGGAACGCUGGGGGCUGGAGUUCCCAAGGACCAGAGUUUCUGUAGAGGUGCCUGUCUGUCACACAUGUGUCCUGUGUGUGCAAAGUCACUGCCAAUGGGGCCUGUCCUUGGGACUCUGGAGAUCUCCCUUCCUUCUCUGGGCUCCUUUACUCAGUUCUUCACAGUCCCAGGCCUUAUCGCUGAGCUGUCCACCCUCUGGCCUCUUCCCUUUGUUUACCAACUUGGCUGGCUUUCUCCGCUGGGCUGGGAACAAAGGAGGUGUUCAGUUCCUGGCUCCCGCCCCCCGCCCCCCAUUCCCUUCCCCUUUUCCAGGAGGGUUGCUUGGCUCAGACAAACCCCUCACUUCUCAGAGGCCCCUUCCCACACUUUUGGCUCCAGGGGAGGCGGGGCUCUUUGGUUGGCACCCCCUCUUUCUCACCGUCUGGCCCCCAUUCCUGUCCCCAGUGAGGCCCCUGAAGCUUUGCUUGUCUGAGCUGGAGACAGCUCCUCUCCCCAUUGUCUGGGCAGGAUUUGGAAGCUCUUGUUUCCAUAGUAACCCCUGGGCAUUUAAUUAAGGGAGGAGGCCUUCGUCUCUCCUAGGCUGGGCAGUUCCAAAUCUCAGCCAGAAAAGGAUACCCUGAGGGGGCGAUGGAAAAGUGUCAUCCUCCAGCACAGCACAAUUCAGGCUUCUCCCCAGAGUCCAGUA